CAUGAGCUCGGUGAAAUUGUAGUUCCGGUGAAGAUGCCGGAUACCCGCAACGGGACGGAAAGACCCCGUGCACCUUCACUACAACUUAACAUUGAUAUUGGAUAAAUAAUGUGUAGGAUAGGUCGGAGACUUCGAUCUUGCUUCGCUAGGAGUAAGUUAGUCAACCUUGAAAUACGACCCUUUAUUUAUCUGAUACCUAAUCCCUAACGGGAAACAGUGUUUGGUGGGUAGUUUGACUGGGGUGGUCGCCUCCAAAAGAGUAACGGAGGCUUUCAAAGGUACCCUCAGCACGUUUGGUAAUCGUGCGUAGAGUGCAAUGGCAUAAGGGUGCUUGACUGUGAGACUUACAAGUCGACCAGGUACGAAAGUAGGACAUAGUGAUCCGGUGGUUCCGCAUGGAAGGGCCAUCGCUCAAAGGAUAAAAGGUACUCCGGGGAUAACAGGCUGAUCACUCCCAAGAGCUCACAUCGACGGAGUGGUUUGGCACCUCGAUGUCGGCUCGUCAUAUCCUGGGGCUGGAGAAGGUCCCAAGGGUUGGGCUGUUCGCCCAUUAAAAUGGCACGCGAGCUGGGUUCAGAACGUCGCGAGACAGUUCGGUCCCUAUCUGUUGUGGGCGUUAGAAGUUUGAGAGGACCUGACUCUAGUACGAGAGGACCGAGUUGGACAAACCUCUAGUGUACCUGUUGUGGCGCCAGCUGCAUCGCAGGGUAGCUAUGUUUGGAGGAGAUAAGUGCUGAAAGCAUCUAAGCACGAAACUCACCUCAAGAUGAGACUUCUUUUAAGGGUCGUUGAAGACUACGACGUUGAUAGGCUGCAAGUGUAAAGACAGUAAUGUCAAAGCUGAGCAGUACUAAUUACCCGUUAGCUUUUUUAUU
rnacentral:rRNA from 1 species